GCAUGUGCUGUAGAAGCCCGUUACUAUUGCUGCUGGAAAGCGUUUUGUUUUGCUCUCUGUUGCUAUGUCUAACGUAACUCGUCCAAACUGCCGAUUAGCUGGUGCUCCUGUCAAUCUCCCAACGGGCUAGCGCCAGCACCUAAAACAACUUUUUUGUUUGUUUGUUUUUAAGGUGAUGAAGAGUUCUGCAGAGAAACCAAGGGACUGGACAGAUCUCAGGCAGAAGCGGGCGGAUCUCUUUGAGAUCAAGAUCAGCCUACUCUACAGAGCAGCUCCAGGACAGCCAGGGCUGCACAGAGAAACCUCCAGAAAACCAAAAAUAAGUUUGAAGACUACUGCUUCUGUGUUUAGGGGGGAUAAGAUACUGAAGAGGACCCCAGAAAAAAGGAAAAGAAACCAACUAGUCGGGCGGUGGUGGCACACGCCUUUAAUGCCAACACUCGGGAAGGAAGAG